GAAGUAUUAGUCUAAAAAAGACAGCUAAUUUCGACUUAGCAGAUUCUAGUGUAACCCUAUAAUACUUC
rnacentral:tRNA from 1 species